rnacentral:rRNA from 1 species
GACAGAGGGUGCAAACGUUGUUCGGAAUUACUGGGCGUAAAGCGCGUGUAGGCGGCUCUGCAAGUCGGAUGUGAAAGCCCUGGGCUCAACCUAGGAAGUGCACUCGAAACUGCAGAGCUUGAGUCUCGGAGAGGAUCGCGGAAUUCUCGGUGUAGAGGUGAAAUUCGUAGAUAUCGAGAGGAACACCGGUGGCGAAGGCGGCGAUCUGGACGAUGACUGACGCUGAGACGCGAAAGCGUGGGGAGCAAACAGG